UACGUAGGGGGCAAGCGUUGUCCGGAAUCAUUGGGCGUAAAGGGCUCGUAGGCGGCCAACUAAGUCAGACGUGAAAUCCCUCGGCUUAACCGGGGAACUGCGUCUGAUACUGGAUGGCUUGAGUUCGGGAGAGGGAUGUGGAAUUCCUGGUGUAGCGGUGAAAUGCGCAGAUAUCAGGAAGAACACCGGUGGCGAAGGCGGCUCUCUGGGCCUUACCUGACGCUGAGGAGCGAAAGCGUGGGUAGCGAACAGG
rnacentral:rRNA from 1 species